AAAUUGAAGAGUUUGAUCAUGGCUCAGAUUGAACGCUGGCGGCAGGCCUAACACAUGCAAGUCGAGCGGUAGCACAGAGAGCUUGCUCUCGGGUGACGAGCGGCGGACGGGUGAGUAAUGUCUGGGAAACUGCCUGAUGGAGGGGGAUAACUACUGGAAACGGUAGCUAAUACCGCAUAACGUCGCAAGACCAAAGUGGGGGACCUUCGGGCCUCAUGCCAUCAGAUGUGCCCAGAUGGGAUUAGCUGGUAGGUGGGGUAACGGCUCACCUAGGCGACGAUCCCUAGCUGGUCUGAGAGGAUGACCAGCCACACUGGAACUGAGACACGGUCCAGACUCCUACGGGAGGCAGCAGUGGGGAAUAUUGCACAAUGGGCGCAAGCCUGAUGCAGCCAUGCCGCGUGUGUGAAGAAGGCCUUCGGGUUGUAAAGCACUUUCAGCGGGGAGGAAGGCGAUAAGGUUAAUAACCUUGUCGAUUGACGUUACCCGCAGAAGAAGCACCGGCUAACUCCGUGCCAGCAGCCGCGGUAAUACGGAGGGUGCAAGCGUUAAUCGGAAUUACUGGGCGUAAAGCGCACGCAGGCGGUCUGUCAAGUCGGAUGUGAAAUCCCCGGGCUCAACCUGGGAACUGCAUUCGAAACUGGCAGGCUAGAGUCUUGUAGAGGGGGGUAGAAUUCCAGGUGUAGCGGUGAAAUGCGUAGAGAUCUGGAGGAAUACCGGUGGCGAAGGCGGCCCCCUGGACAAAGACUGACGCUCAGGUGCGAAAGCGUGGGGAGCAAACAGGAUUAGAUACCCUGGUAGUCCACGCUGUAAACGAUGUCGAUUUGGAGGUUGUGCCCUUGAGGCGUGGCUUCCGGAGCUAACGCGUUAAAUCGACCGCCUGGGGAGUACGGCCGCAAGGUUAAAACUCAAAUGAAUUGACGGGGGCCCGCACAAGCGGUGGAGCAUGUGGUUUAAUUCGAUGCAACGCGAAGAACCUUACCUGGUCUUGACAUCCACAGAACUUUCCAGAGAUGGAUUGGUGCCUUCGGGAACUGUGAGACAGGUGCUGCAUGGCUGUCGUCAGCUCGUGUUGUGAAAUGUUGGGUUAAGUCCCGCAACGAGCGCAACCCUUAUCCUUUGUUGCCAGCGGUCCGGCCGGGAACUCAAAGGAGACUGCCAGUGAUAAACUGGAGGAAGGUGGGGAUGACGUCAAGUCAUCAUGGCCCUUACGACCAGGGCUACACACGUGCUACAAUGGCAUAUACAAAGAGAAGCGACCUCGCGAGAGCAAGCGGACCUCAUAAAGUAUGUCGUAGUCCGGAUUGAGUCUGCAACUCGACUCCAUGAAGUCGGAAUCGCUAGUAAUCGUAGAUCAGAAUGCUACGGUGAAUACGUUCCCGGGCCUUGUACACACCGCCCGUCACACCAUGGGAGUGGGUUGCAAAAGAAGUAGGUAGCUUAACCUUCGGGAGGGCGCUUACCACUUUGUGAUUCAUGACUGGGGUGAAGUCGUAACAAGGUAACCGUAGGGGAACCUGCGGUUGGAUCACCUCCUUA
rnacentral:rRNA from 1 species